rnacentral:tRNA from 1 species
CCUGGUGGCUCAGACAGUAAAGCAUCUGCCUGCAAUGCGGGAGACCCAGGUUCAAUCCCUGGGUCAGGA